rnacentral:rRNA from 1 species
UACGGAGGGUGCAAGCGUUGUCCGGAAUCACUGGGCGUAAAGAGCUCGUAGGCGGUCUGUCGCGUCGGCUGUGAAAACCCGGAGCUCAACUCCGGGCCUGCAGUCGAUACGGGCAGACUGGAGUUCGGCAGGGGAGACUGGAAUUCCUGGUGUAGCGGUGAAGUGCGCAGAUAUCAGGAGGAACACCGGUGGCGAAGGCGGGUCUCUGGGCCGAUACUGACGCUGAGGAGCGAAAGCGUGGGGAGCGAACAGG